AUCUUAUUAGUAUUAUAGUACAUUUGACUUCCAAUCAAAAAGACUUAGUUUAAACCUAAGAUAAGAUA
rnacentral:tRNA from 1 species